AUGUUACUCUUUGAGUACGCAUCAAAUGGGACCCUGUACGAGCACCUACACCAUGGAGAAGCGGCCCAAUUCUCUUGGCUCAGACGAAUGAAAAUAGCCAUCAGCAUCGCCCAAGGUUUAAGGUAUCUGCACACCGAGUCGCAGCCGCCUUUCGCUAUAUCAGAGCUGAACUCCAAUUCAGUAUACAUUAUAGAAGAUUCUACCCCCAAGGCUGACGGCGUCGUCUACUGA
rnacentral:rRNA from 1 species